rnacentral:ncRNA from 1 species
GUCCGAAAAAGGCAAAUCUGCCGAAAGGCAGUGACGCAAAGCUUCCGGUCUAAGGGCAUCAGCCUAGGACAGCGGGGCCGCCGGA